CACAUGGCAAGAGGGCUUUGAAGAUGUGAUUGAGUCAAGGAUCUUGAAUGGGGAGAUUAUCCUGAAUUAUUCAGCUGGACCCAGUGUAAUCACAAAGGUUUUUCAAAGAUGGAAGAGAGGCAGAAGAGCCAGAAAAGGAUAUGUGACAAUGGAGUCAGUGUCAGAGUUGGAGUGACGUGAUGUGAGAAGGAUUCAACCUGCUGUUUCUGGCUUUGAGGAUGAAAGAAGGGGCCAUGAGCCAAGCAAUACAGGUGGCUUCUUUCAAGAAGUUGGAAAAGGACUGCAUCAUUGCUUACCCAACAUGACUCAGCCUCGGUAUUGCCACUGACUCACGGAGCUCCUAAUAGAGGAGAAUUAGUGUCACAGAUCGACUGGAAAACCAAUCCACAUGAAGCCAGGAAGAGAAAUGAAGCUGCUGUUGCUGAAUCCAUAGCUGGCCUUAAUGAUGCUGGCUAGGAAAGACGGCCCAUUCUGGGGGAGAUAAGUCAAUUUUGCAGUGUCUGUUAUUAUCAUAGUGACUAUUGUCUUCCUGUUUUAUAUUUAUUUACCUAAAUUGUUUUGGAAAGACUCAGAGGUAUAGAGACAUGCCUACUUUUUGCAAAAAUCAUCACACUGUCAUGGAGGUAGUCCAGGCUAUGGGGCUCUUAUUUGUUGGUGUCUUGGGCAAGUUGCUUGACCUCUGAUCAUUGUUUGCUUAUUCUUAUAUGGCCCCUGUAUUUCAGACUCACUCUGUGUCAGGCAUUUGUUUACCUUUGUAGCAAGCUCAGGAGGAAAAUACCAUUGCCCUUGUUUUACAGGUGAUGAAACUGUACGUUUUCCAAGGACACAGUGCUAGUAAGUAAUGAAUGUGAAAUUUUAACUGUUUCAAUCUCUUCUCAGAGCCAGUGCUAACUACUCUCCUAAACUUCCUCUCAUCUGUAAAAUAUGGAUGAUAAUAACACCUCUUACAGAGUUGUUGUACAUAUUAAAUAAUAGAACUGUGAAAUGUGUAGUACUUCAUUA
rnacentral:lncRNA from 1 species